rnacentral:rRNA from 1 species
UACGAAGGGGGCUAGCGUUGCUCGGAAUCACUGGGCGUAAAGCGCACGUAGGCGGAUUGCUAAGUCAGGGGUGAAAUCCUGGAGCUCAACUCCAGAACUGCCUUUGAUACUGGCAACCUUGAGUCCGGGAGAGGUGAGUGGAACUGCGAGUGUAGAGGUGAAAUUCGUAGAUAUUCGCAAGAACACCAGUGGCGAAGGCGGCUCACUGGCCCGGUACUGACGCUGAGGUGCGAAAGCGUGGGUAGCAAACAGG